GUGUAUUCAGCCUUGAGAGGCUAGGUUGCGAUAAAUUGCCAUGUCAUGCUAGAAUGAAUUUUAUUGAUUGGUGGAUUAUAUAUUAAUUAUUUACUGCAGAGGGGGUUCCGUGGACCAGCCUAUUAGAGGGGCACGGUAAACUCCAUUAUAUUAUUACCUCGAACGGAGAGGCGCGUAGGGUAUCUCCUAGGGUAAAGCUUAGGGUUCACUUCACGCCAAACCACCACGUGAAGGGGAACUUAGCCAACGCCAAGGAACGACUGUAUUUUUCUCAAACUAAAAAUAUAUUUUAAGUGUAUACAAAAAUUUUAACAGCCUUGACGGACUCGGUUGGAUGCCUUGCGUAAGGUAUCACCGAGUAUGAGUUUUGGCACGAGCUAAAGUUUUAAGAAAUUCAUAAACCAAGUUGAUUACUCGAUUUUUAUGGAUUGAUUUUAUUUGGU
rnacentral:lncRNA from 1 species